rnacentral:rRNA from 1 species
GGAGGAAAAGAACUAACAAGGAUUCCCCUAGUAACUGCGAGUGAAGCGGGAAAAGCUCAAAUUUAAAAUCUGGCGGUCUCUGGCCGUCCGAGUUGUAAUCUAGAGAAGUGAUGCCCCCGCUGGACCGUGUACAAGUCUCCUGGAAUGGAGCGUCAUAGAGGGUGAGAAUCCCGUCUCUGACACGGACUACCAGGGCUUUGUGGUACGCUCUCAAAGAGUCGAGUUGUUUGGGAAUGCAGCUCAAAAUGGGUGGUAAAUUCCAUCUAAAGCUAAAUAUUGGCGAGAGACCGAUAGCGAACAAGUACCGUGAGGGAAAGAUGAAAAGAACUUUGGAAAGAGAGUUAAACAGUACGUGAAAUUGCUGAAAGGGAAACGCUUGAAGUCAGUCACGUUGGCCGGGAAUCAGCCUCGCUCUUUUGCGUGGUGUACUUUCUGGUUGACGGGUCAGCAUCAAUUUUGACCGCUGGAAAAAGGCUUGAGGAAUGUGGCAGCUCCGGCUGUGUUAUAGCUUCAUGUCACAUACAGCGGUUGGGAUUGAGGAACUCAGCACGCCGCAAGGCCGGGUUUCGACCACGUUCGUGCUUAGGAUGCUGGCAUAAUGGCUUUA